rnacentral:lncRNA from 1 species
GCAGCCUCACUCCUAAGCCUUCACGUGCAGGUCACCCCUUGCUCCAGUCGGCAGCCUCCCAACAGCAGCAGCACAAGGCUCUCUAAAAAGAGAAAGUUUGAGGGAAACAACGAUGAGGGUGAGGAGGGGCACGAUUUAUAGGCGCAUGGGUAGGUGAGGGUAACUGUGACUGAUGUCGCUGGGUGGUUGAGAAAAGAGUUGUAGCUGGCGUCACUCGCGCAGCACUGAUAGGUACAGCGUGACGCUGACACUGCUGACGGUUGCACACUUUACCAUCCGCACACGGCGUUACUCCAGGCGGUGAUGCUCUUGACGGCAACAUGGUUGCGGCGAUGCUCUAGAUGACGAUACGCUCGCGGCGAUGCUCCAGAUGCUGAUACACUCGUGGCGAUAGUCCAGAUGGCAAUACACGCUCGCGACAAUGCUCCAGACGGCGAUACGCUCGCAGCGAUGCUCCAGACGGUGAUAUGCUCAUGGCGGUGCUUCAGGCAGUGAUACGCAGUCGUGGCGAUGCUCCAGACGGCGAUACGUGCAUGGCGAUGCUCCAAACGGCGAUGCCCCAAGUCGAUGGGUGGUGUUGCUUCAACCGGCGAUGCUUGAUUUUCUCUUUCUCUCCUCACUCAUGGUGCUAGGCCUCCUCAUGUGCUCGAUGUUACUCUUCCUUCCGCCGACGGUGGUGUGCAGACGGUGUUACGCUAUUUCAUGCGCGACGUCUCACGAAUAGUGUUGCUUCUCUUCACCCUCGGCGUUACGUAUCCCGCCUUUCAUGCGCGGUGCUAGCCCAGGCGGCGUUACUCUAAACGGUGAUGCCUCCAUUCAUGCGCGGCGUUAGUCUAGCCUACGCACGACGUCGACCCUUAUACCUGCAGCAAUACCCUCAUUUGAACGCAGCAUUGCCUCCAUGUUACAUGGACAGUACUAGGCCAAAUCACACGGACGGCGCUAUCUUUCGCCCUUAGCGCCGGGCAUGCGUUCUUGUCUCUUACGGCUUCCUUCUCUC